rnacentral:lncRNA from 1 species
UCAAGAAACCCUAAGGUAGCGUUUGAUUCGGAAACAAGGGGGGAAUAAGCUCUUGUUCCUAUUUUUGUUUCCAAACGGUAUGUUUGGUUCUCGGGAACAGUAGUUUCCGAGAAUCUGGAACAAGCUGGUAUAAGACUGGAAGUGUUGUUCCACCUAUUUUCUGGAACAAGCUUGUUCCUUAAUUGGAACAAGGUUAAUUAAAAUCGAAAUUUAAUUUUAAUAACAGCAAAUUAUUAAUUAAUCUAAUUAAUAUAUUUAAAUCAUUAUUUAUUACUUUAAUAAUUAAAUAAUUAAUUUAUUUAUUAUUUAUAAUUAAUUAUUAAUAAUUAGAUAAUAAUUAUUAUUAUUAAUUAGAUAUUCAAUAUUAUUAAUUUAUUAUUUGUAAUUAAUUAUUAAUAAUUAUUAAUAAUAAUAAUUAUUUAUAAUUAAUUAUUAAUAAUUAAUUUCUUAUUUAUUUUUAUGUAAUAUUUUGAUGUUAACUAAUUACAUAAUAUAAUUUUAAUUUCAAAUUAUAACUCUUAUUCCUCUAGUUCCAAUCUAACCAUCCGAACACUAUUUACCUUAUUUCUAGGACCACAACUCAAUUUUCAUCCAAACGCAAAAUUGGUCUAGUUUUUCUGCUUAUACCUGAACUUAUACCUAUCCCUGAAACUAGCAGUUCUUAUUUAUACCUGAACCAAACGCAGUCUAAUUCUUCGAGACGCCAAUAAGAGCUCCAUUUUUGUUUUAUGUUCAUUUUGUGUCAAUAAUACUAUCUGUACAAUCAUAUAUAGUAUAUAAAUUUUAUAUUAAAAACGGUCAACGAGUUGAACAUGAGCGAAUUGGUG